GGAUGAAGAACGCAGCGAAAUGCGAUAAGUAAUGUGAAUUGCAGAAUUCAGUGAAUCAUCGAAUCUUUGAACGCACAUUGCGCCCGCCAGUAUUCUGGCGGGCAUGCCUGUUCGAGCGUCAUUACAACCCUCAGGCCCCCGGGCCUGGCGUUGGGGAUCGGCGGAGCCCCCCGUGGGCACACGCCGUCCCCCAAAUACAGUGGCGGUCCCGCCGCAGCUUCCAUCGCGUAGUAGCUAACACCUCGCGACUGGAGAGCGGCGCGGCCACGCCGUAAAACACCCAACUCUUCUGAAGUUGACCUCGAAUCAGGUAGGAAUACCCGCUGAACUUAAGCAUAUCAAUAAGCGGAGGA
rnacentral:misc_RNA from 1 species